rnacentral:rRNA from 1 species
UUGGAGGGCAAGUCUGGUGCCAGCAGCCGCGGUAAUUCCAGCUCCAAUAGCGUAUAUUAAAGUUGUUGCCGUUAAAAAGCUCGUAGUUGAACCUUGGCCCUGGCUGAUCUGUCCUCCUAAUCGAGCGCACGGAUUCGGUCGGGGCUUUCCUUCUGGGGAGCCCCAUGCCCUUCACUGGGUGUGGCGGGGAACCAGGACUUUUACCUUGAAAAAAUUAGAGUGUUCAAAGCAGGCCUUUGCUCGAAUACAUUAGCAUGGAAUAAUAGAAUAGGACAUCGGUUCUAUUUUGUUGGUUUCUAGGACCGCUGUAAUGAUUAAUAGGGACAGUCGGGGGCGUCAGUAUUCAAUUGUCAGAGGUGAAAUUCUUGGAUUUAUUGAAGACUAACUACUGCGAAAGCAUUCGCCAAGGAUGUUUUCAUUAAUCAGUGAACGAAAGUUAGGGGAUCGAAGACGAUGAGAUACGUGGGUGGUGUCGUGUGCAGGCUUUGGGAGUUGG